UUACACGAUGCCCCAUUACAUCUCGUAAGUGAUGCAAAGCCCCUCUAAACAUCUUUGUCACAUUGUACAAAGAGAGCCAAAUCUGCAAGUUGACAACAUGUGCUGUGCUGUUCUCUGUCAUGUUUUGUGAGCAUUUAUGUAGAUCGCAAAUAUUCACAUGGGAAUUUGAAAACGUAGACUCCAUGUGGCAUCUCACAUGGUGUUUUUUAAAUCUUAUUAUAGGAGCAACAACUGAAAGAUAAUCAUAGCAUUUGUAGUCCAUGGCUUCUAAAAGGCACAUAUUUCCUAAUACUAAGUACCCACAAGUUCUAAGCUUCUCUUAACUCUGUAUACCUUAACUCUAACAUGCCAGAAUCCGCCCAGCCUACAUUUUAUCACUACUGCCAUCAGCACUGACAUUUCCCUAGUAUACAGUAGAAAACAGUCUGCUGCUGCAUAAUAGACUAGCACAGGGAUAUGCAGUCUUCGGCACUCCAGAUGUUGUGGACUACAUUUUCCAUAAUGCUGGCAAAGACUUAUCGCAAAUGUAGUUCACAACAUCUGGAUUGCCGAAGGUUGCCUACCCUUGUCCUAACACGUUUAUGGUUUACUGUUCUUCCCUAGCUUAAUCGCACACAUUGUUUGGC